rnacentral:lncRNA from 1 species
CUUGGAGUGAAACAGGCAGCAGACUGGAGCCCAGGAAGAGACUGGGCAGAGUGUGGCUGGGAGCCUGUACAGCUGCUCAGUUAUAGGAUGAAGAAGAGGACUUUGCACUGGUACCUAUUGAAGUUGUUCCUGAAGCCACUGGCCUGAGCCCGACUCCCUCUGCUUACUAUCUCUCUACCUGCUGCAUGUGGUAUGAGAUGUGAACUCUCAGCUGCUCCUGCUGUCACGCCAGCCUGCUGUCAUGCUUUCCCACCAUCUGGAGAUGGACUCUGAUUCCUCUGGAAUGUUUCUGCCCCCAGUUUUCUGACCUGCUUGAGUCCCUGUCCUGACUUCCUUCGAUGAUGGACUAUGAGAGGCACACAAAGGAUAGUUUAAACAUUCAACCAGAUAACAGAAUAACAGCAGCGAGCCGAAAUGAGCAACCUGAAGUAAACCCACUCUUAUCCAAGACACCUGGGAGGAGCACACAACCACAUUCCAAGAACAGUCUGGUGUUUUGAAGAAAUGGAGGUCACAAGACUCUUGUCCUGUUUUCUUGGAGUGCUCUCAUAAGCACUCAGAAGUCUCUUCACCAGACUCCAUUCCUGGACCAUAUUCCUAGUGGGUAGGUCUUCCUCCCGCUAUGCCCAGAGGCCCACAUUCCAAGUAAUUUUGAUUCUGUCAAGCUGGUAAUUACCACUAACCACUGCAGUUAAUAAAGGAACAGUUUAAGAACCCAA